CGGACGGGUGAGUAACACGUGGGUAACCUGCCCUAAAGUGGGGAUAACAUUUGGAAACAGAUGCUAAUACCGCAUAAAACCUAACACCGCAUGGUGUAGGGUUGAAAGAUGGUUUCGGCUAUCACUUUAGGAUGGACCCGCGGUGCAUUAGUUAGUUGGUGAGGUAAAGGCUCACCAAGACCGUGAUGCAUAGCCGACCUGAGAGGUAAUCGGCCACACUGGGACUGAGACACGGCCCAGACUCCUACGGGAGGCAGCAGUAGGGAAUCUUUCACAAUGGACGAAAGUCUGAUGGAGCAACGCCGCGUGAGUGAAGAAGGUUUUCGGAUCGUAAAACUCUGUUGUUGGAGAAGAAUGUAUCUGAUAGUAACUGAUCAGGUAGUGACGGUAUCCAACCAGAAAGCCACGGCUAACUACGUG
rnacentral:rRNA from 1 species